rnacentral:rRNA from 1 species
UGCGUAGGUGACAAGCGUUGUCCGGAUUUACUGGGCGUAAAGAGCGCGCAGGCGGUCGUUCAAGUCGAGUGUGAAAGCCCCCGGCUCAACUGGGGAGGGUCAUUCGAUACUGAUCGACUCGAAGGCAGGAGAGGGUAGUGGAAUUCCCGGUGUAGUGGUGAAAUGCGUAGAUAUCGGGAGGAACACCAGUGGCGAAGGCGACUACCUGGCCUGUUCUUGACGCUGAGGCGCGAAAGCUGGGGGAGCAAACGGG